rnacentral:rRNA from 1 species
AUGGCUGAUGAGCCUAGAGAUCCAGCGCUUCAUGACCCCACAGAGCUAGAAAACCUGAAAACUUUUAAAUGUGAAGGAAGUCAACCUGAGGAUGCUUUAGACCUGCAAAACAGGUCAAAGGGUAUUAGAGGAGUAGAAGCCAAUUAUGCUUUGAAGCUUGCGAACAAUCCUCCAAAGAGAUCUAAGUUGGAUGAACACAAAGUAGCAAUGCUUGGUAAAAAGCGAGCCAGACAAACUGUGAUAAUUAAUGACGAGGAUGCAAAGCAAGCUGGUAUAAUGACAAUAUCAACACCCAGGAGACAAUCUCGUGGGGCUGGUGAAGUAGCUGCAGGAACACAGAACCAGCUGGCCAUCAGGGUCCAGAGGCAAACUGAAAUGAUGGGUCCAGAACGAAGUAAUUCUGCCACCCCAAGUGAUAGAAAUGCAGAUUCCAGUGUUGAUGUUGAAUUGGCAUCUCCGAACUGGUCAAAGAAAAUGAAUGCUGAAAUACCCCCCUCAGAUGGGUACCAACAAUCUGUACCAAGGCAGGCCACUUUGAGGCAAACCAUGGAUUCCAAGCAGUUCAAGGGCCGAUCAGUCUCAGAUGUAACAGGGCAGAACAUGGCAGAUCAGAAACGAGCCAACAAGAGGUCUCUUGUUUCCAAGAAAGAAGCUUCAGCAAAUAAUGCACAAUAUCAUGACACAUCUGUUGAACGACUUCUACAGGAAGUGACAAGUGAUAAGUUCUGGCAUAAUCCAGAGGAGUCGGAACUUCAAUCUGUUCCCGGAAGCUUUGAAUCUGCUGAGGAGUACAUUAGAGUUUUUGAGCCUUUGCUUUUUGAGGAAUGCAGAGCUCAGCUACACAGUUCUUAUGAGGAAUCUCUUGAGGCUGUCUCAAGGGAUGCACAUGUAAUGGUGCGCGUUAGAACCGUGGAUAGGCGUGAAAGAGGGUGGUAUGAUGUUCUUGUUCUACCAGCACAUGAAUAUGAAUGGACUUUUAAAGAAGGAGAAGUUGCAGUUUUGUCAUUCCCUCGGCCUGAUUCAGCUGCACAGUCAAGUAAUUCUAAUAGGAAGACUGUUGGUUCAAAUGAAGAUGCCGAGUCAGAGUGUGGACGGCUUGUUGGUAGAGUCCGGCGCCAUAUGCCUAAUGAUACACGUGAUCCCAUUGGAGCAAUUAUCCGUUUUUAUGCUGGGAACCCGUCUGAUUCUAGCUGUGGGAUUAAUGUUCUGGGGAAACUCCAACCUCAAAGCACCUGGUAUCUAACUGGUCUCGGUUCUCUCGCAACAACACAAAGGGAGUAUAUUGCGUUGCACGCAUUCCGUCGUCUUAAUGUGCAGAUGCAAAAUGCAAUUCUUCAGCCGAGUCCAGAGCACUUCCCCAAGUACCAAGAGCAGCCACCUGCUAUGCCUGACUGCUUCACUCCAAAUUUUUCUUGUCAUCUCCAUCAUACAUUCAAUGGGCCUCAGCUAUCAGCAAUCCAUUGGGCUGCAAUGCAUACAGCUGCUGGCACAGGCAAUGGAGUAGUGAAGAAACAAGAACCAUGGCCUUUCACAUUGGUACAAGGUCCUCCAGGAACAGGGAAAACUCAUACUGUUUGGGGAAUACUAAAUGUUAUUCAUCUUGUUCAGUAUCAACAUUACUAUGCUGCUCUGCUAAAAAAACUUGCUCCUGAAAGUUAUGAGCAACUUGGUGGUAGUGCUAGCAGCACCUCAGAAGCUGUUGCUGCAGGCUCAAUGGAUGAAGUUUUGCAGAGCAUGAAUCAGAACCUGUUUCGCACUCUUCCCAAGCUUUGCCCCAAACCGCGGAUGCUUGUUUGUGCCCCAUCAAAUGCUGCAACAGAUGAGUUGCUUGCUCGUGUUCUAGAUCGUGGUUUCAUAGAUGGUGAGAUGAGGGUCUAUCGCCCUGAUGUUGCCCGUGUUGGAGUUGAUUCACAGUCCCGUGCUGCACAAGCUGUUUCAGUUGAGCGACGGACGGAACAGCUUUUAAUGAAGGGACGCGAGGAAGUAAUUGGGUGGCUGCAUCAACUAAAAGUUCGUGAACAACAAUUAUCACAAGAGAUAGCACUUCUGCAGAGGGAACUUAAUAUGGUUGCAGAGGCUGGUAGAUCUCAGGGUUCGUUUGGAGUAGAUCCAGACAUGCUUGCUCAAAGGGAUCGUAACCGUGAUAUACUGCUUCAGAAACUUGCUGCUUCUGUGGAAAGCAGGGAUAAAGUACUGGUUGAGAUGUCACGCCUGUUGAUAUUAGAAUGCAGGUUCCGUGUUGGCAGAAACUUCAAUCUGGAAGAUGCUAGGGCUAGUUUGGAAGCUAGUUUUGCCAGUGAAGCGGAAAUUGUUUUUACUACAGUAUCAAGCAGUGGUCGCAAGUUAUUUUCUGCCCUUAAUCAUGGCUUUGAUAUGGUUGUUAUUGAUGAGGCUGCUCAGGCCAGUGAAGUAGGAGUCCUCCCUCCACUUUCACUUGGUGCAGCUAGAUGUGUCUUGGUUGGUGAUCCACAGCAGCUCCCUGCCACUGUUAUUAGCAAAGCAGCUGGAACUUUACUCUACAGCAGGAGUCUUUUUGAGAGGUUUCAGCAAGCUGGUUGCCCUACCAUUUUGCUGUCAGUGCAAUAUCGGAUGCAUCCCCAGAUCCGUGAAUUUCCAUCAAGAUACUUCUACCAAGGCCUCCUUACAGAUAGUGAAAGUGUCGCCAACUUGCCCGAUGAGGCAUUCUAUAGAGAUGCAUUAAUGGCACCUUACAUUUUCUAUGACAUCUCGCAUGGGCGUGAGUCCCAUAGAGGUGGGUCAUCUUCAUACCAGAAUGUCCAUGAAGCACAGUUUGCAUUGUGUUUGUAUGAGCAUCUUCAGAAGUUCCUGAGAGCUAAUGGUGGCAAGAAAGCAUCUGUUGGUAUAAUCACUCCUUAUAAGUUGCAGUUGAAGUGUCUUCAGCGGGAAUUUGCGGAGGUUAUGAAUACCGAGGAAGGGAAAGAUAUCUACAUAAACACAGUUGAUGCUUUUCAAGGCCAGGAGCGUGAUGUGAUUAUUAUGUCAUGUGUCCGUGCCUCAAACCACGGUGUCGGUUUUGUUGCAGAUAUACGCCGUAUGAAUGUCGCUCUUACUCGAGCUAGGAGAGCUCUAUGGGUUAUUGGUAAUGCCAAUGCCCUCAUGCAGUCAGAGGAUUGGGCGGCACUGGUAGCAGAUGCAAAGGCGAGGAAAUGUUUCAUGGACUUGAGUAGCAUCCCGAGUGACUUCCUAGCUAUGAACAAAUUUUCAAACGCCCGGGGCCUGAAUUCUUCAAGCAGCACAAGGUACAUGAGGACUAGUGGACCGAGACCGAGGCAUUUCGACAUGCUUCCGGCACCCAGGAUGGGUAUGACGGCCGAUGAGGAUGGCCAUCCCAACUCUGUUGCGAGAAAUGGUAGUUACCGGAAUUUGUCCAAUGAUGUGGGGCAUCCUGGUGAUAGGUCUAGAGAUAAUUUGCAGUUUGGGAGGAUCAGGGGGCCGAAUCCGUCCAAUGAUCUGAGGAGACAAGCCUAA